rnacentral:rRNA from 1 species
CCUACGGGGGGCUGCAGUGGGGAAUUUUGGACAAUGGGCGAAAGCCUGAUCCAGCAAUGCCGCGUGAGUGAAGAAGGCCUUCGGGUUGUAAAGCUCUUUUGUUUGGGAAGAAAUCCCUAAGGAUAAUACCCUUGGGGGAUGACGGUACCAAAAGUAUAAGCACCGGCUAACUACGUGCCAGCAGCCGCGGUAAUACGUAGGGGGCAUACGUUACUCGGAAUUACCGGGCGCGGAGUGGUAGCAGGGGGGUGAAAUCCCCGAGCUCAACUUGGGAACUGCACUUGUGACUGCAAGACUAGAGUGUGUCAGAGGGAGGUAGAAUUCCACGUGUAGCAGUGAAAUGCGUAGAUAUGUGGAGGAAUAUCAGUGGCGAAGGCGGCCUCCUGGGAUAACACUGACGCUCAUGUACGAAAGCGUGGGGAGCAAACAGGAUUAGAUACCCCAGUAGUC